CCUACGGGCGGCAGCAGUAGGGAAUCUUCCACAAUGGGCGAAAGCCUGAUGGAGCAACGCCGCGUGUGUGAAGAAGGUCUUCGGAUCGUAAAACCCUGUUGUUAGAGAAGAAAGUGCGUGAGAGUAACUGUUCACGUUUCGACGGUAUCUAACCAGAAAGCCACGGCUAACUACGUGCCAGCAGCCGCGGUAAUACGUAGGUGGCAAGCGUUAUCCGGAUUUAUUGGGCGUAAAGGGAACGCAGGCGGUCUUUUAAGUCUGAUGUGAAAGCCUUCGGCUUAACCGGAGUAGUGCAUUGGAAACUGGGAGACUAGAGUGCAGGAGAGGAGAGUGGAACUCCAGGUGUAGCGGUAAAAUGCGUAGAUAUAUGGAGGAACACCAGUGGCGAAGGCGACUCUCUGGACUAUAACUGACGCUGAGGUGCGAAAGCGUGGGUAGCAAACAGGAUUAGAUACCCGUGUAGUC
rnacentral:rRNA from 1 species